GGAGUGGCCGAUGCCUGAUUAGCUAGUUGGUGGGGUAAUGGCCUACCAAGGCGACGAUCAGUAGUUGGUCUGAGAGGACGACCAGCCACACUGGGACUGAGACACGGCCCAGACUCCUACGGGAGGCAGCAGUGGGGAAUUUUGGACAAUGGGCGAAAGCCUGAUCCAGCAAUGCCGCGUGAGUGAAGAAGGCCUUCGGGUUGUAAAGCUCUUUCAGUCGAGAAGAAAAGGUUGUGACUAAUAAUCACAACUCAUGACGGUAUCGACAGAAGAAGCACCGGCUAACUACGUGCCAGCAGCCGCGGUAAUACGUAGGGUGCGAGCGUUAAUCGGAAUUACUGGGCGUAAAGGGUGCGCAGGCGGCUUUGUAAGUCAGAUGUGAAUGCCCCGGG
rnacentral:rRNA from 1 species